CUACCCUUGACAUGCUAGGAAUUCUGCAGAGAUGUGGAAGUGCUCGAAAGAGAACCUAGACACAGGUGCUGCAUGGCCGUCGUCAGCUCGUGUCGUGAGAUGUUGGGUUAAGUCCCGCAACGAGCGCAACCCUUGUCAUUAGUUGCUACGAAAGGGCACUCUAAUGAGACUGCCGGUGACAAACCGAGGAAGGUGGGGAUGACGUCAGGUCCUCAUGGCCCUUAUGGGUAGGGCUACACACGUCAUACAAUGGCCGGUACAGAGGGCUGCCAACCCGCGAGGGGGAGCCAAUCCCAGAAAACCGGUCGUAGUCCGGAUCGCAGUCUGCAACUCGACUGCGUGAAGUCGGAAUCGCUAGUAAUCGCGGAUCAGCUUGCCGCGGUGAAUA
rnacentral:rRNA from 1 species